GCUUCUAACAAAUGUAAACAUUGUUGAUGUGUAUGUACAACCUUACCAUGAUGUUAGACAUGAAGGGGUUGUUUGUUUUUUUUAAGAAGAGUUUCCUGACCUUUUAUGUCUGCGUCGUGCAGACUACACGUAGACCUUUGGAUCUGAAGACUGUUUGUUUUCUCGAAGAUCUUUCAUUAAAAAAGGUAUGUGCAUCCUCUUCUUGGGGCAGAUGUGGACUCAAGUCUUCAAACCUCCCUUCUCCCUUUCACAAAGCCACCGCUCCUCCCUUCUCCCUUCUCCAUUUCGACGUCAUGACUCACGUUCAAAUCGACCUCUCCUACAGUUGAAUUGCUGUAGCUUAGUGCUUGCAGAAGUU